AAAAGUUUUGUUAAAUUAUUAGUUAAAAUAUAUAAAUGAGUUCUAUCUAAGAUAGGGUUUUAAUAAAAGUUUUAUUCUAGUUUUAAGGAAAUUUAGUUUAUAGGGUGAAUGUAUAUUUAUGUUAAUAACUAUUACAUUAUUUAUAAUUGGACAAUUAGGGGUAAUGUUUCAGUAAUAAAUUUUUGUAGUAGUUAAUAUUGUGCCAGCAACUGCGGUUAUACAAUAGCUGGAUUUUACAGUUAUCGGGGGUAUUGGUUAAGAAUUAAAUGGGUUUUGAUUAAAAAAUUUUAGGUUAAAUUUAAUUUAUAAAGGGGUAGUAAAUAAAUUUAAUCAAUUAUUAAGUGAGACUAGGAUUAGAUACCCUAUUAUCAAAAUAUUGAGGGUAGUAUAUGAUAAAAUCAGGAAACCUAAAGAAUUUGGCGGUGUUUAGUUUUAAUAGAGGAAUAUGCUUUAAAAAUGAUGUUCCCCAAAAAUCUUACUUAUUUUUUAUAUUUUGUAUACUUCCGUUGUUGGUUAUUUAAAAAUUUAUGUAAAAUUAUUAAGGGAUUUAUAUUCAGGUUAAUGUGCAGGUUUAUAAAUAAGUUAAAGUGUAUUACAGUAAAUUUAUUUAUGGUUUAAUUUUAAAUAUUUUAUUUAAAUUGGAUUUAAAAGUAAACUUGUUUUUAUUAUUAUAGGUUGAAUAUAAAGACGAACAUGUACAUAUUGCCCGUCAUUCUCUUAGAGACAAGUCGUAACAAAGUGGGUUUACUGGAAGGUAAAUCUGCGAGAAU
rnacentral:rRNA from 1 species